rnacentral:rRNA from 1 species
GACGAACGCUGGCGGCGUGCUUAACACAUGCAAGUCGAACGAAGAGCGAUGGAAGCUUGCUUCUCUCAAUCUUAGUGGCGAACGUGUGAGUAACGCGUAAUCAACCUUCCCUUCAGAGGGGGACAACAGUUGGAAACGACUGCUAAUACCGCAUACGAUCUGACCUCGGCAUCGAGGAUAGAUGAAAGGUGGCCUCUACAUGUAAGCUCUCACUGAAGGAGGGGAUUGCGUCUGAUUAGCUAGUUGGAGGGGUAACGGCCCACCAAGGCGAUGAUCAGUAGCCGGGCGGAGAGGAUGAACGGCAACAUUGGGACGGAGACACGGCCCAGAAGCAUACGGGAGGCAGCAGUGGGGAAUCUUCCGCAAGGGACGAAAGUCUGACGGAGCAACGCCGCGGGAGGGAUGACGGCCGUCGGGUUGUAAAGCUCGGUUAAUCGGGACGAAAGGCCUUUUUGCGAAUAGUGAGAAGGAUUGACGGUACCGGAAGAGAAAGCCACGGCUAACUACGUG